GGUUGUGGGUUUAGGUUUAGGGUUAUGGUUUAGGUGUAGGGUUUAGGGUUAUGGGUUUAGGUGUAGGGUUUAGGGUUAUGGGUUUAGGUGUAGGGUGUAGGGUUAUGGGUUUAGGUGUAGGGUUUAGGGUUAUGGUUUAGGUGUAGGGUUUAGGGUUAUGGGUUUAGGUGUAGGGUUUAGGGUUAUGGUUUAGGUGUAGGGUUUAGGGUUAUGGUUUAGGUGUAGGUGUAGGGUUUAGGGUUAUGGUUUAGGUGUAGGGUUUAGGGUUAUGGUUAAGGUUAUGGGUUUAGGUGUAGGGUUUAGGGUUAUGGUUAAGGUGUAGGGUUUAGGGUUAUGGUUAAGGUUAGGGUUUAGGGUUGUGGGUUUAGGUUUAGGGUUAUGGUUUAGGUGUAGGGUUUAUGGUUAUGGGUUUAGGUGUAGGGUUUAAGGUUAUGGGUUUAGGUGUAGGGUUUAGGGUUAUGGUUAAGGUUAUGGGUUUAGGUGUAGGGUUUAGGGUUAUGGUUAAGGUGUAGGGUUUAGGGUUAUGGUUAAGGUUAGGGUUUAGGGUUAUGGGUUUAGGUGUAGGGUUUAGGGUUAUGGUUAAGGUGUAAGGUUUAGGGUUAUGGUUAAGGUUAGGGUUUAGGGUUAUGGGUUUAGGUGUAGGGUUUAGGGUUGUGGGUUUAGGUGUAGGGUUUAGGGUUAUGGUUUAGGUGU
ensembl:lncRNA